rnacentral:lncRNA from 1 species
UUAUUAUGUGUGUAUUUGAAGAAUGUAUUAUUUGAUAUGUGACAGAAGUGCUGGAAUUUCUAAAAGAGAACAUUAAGCCACUAAAAACGUUACCAAGCUCCAGCACUUAUGUGAUGGGUUUGAAAAAACAGAAAGUGGUAUGACGCUGUGGGAGGAUGAAAAUGACAGUGGCAGGGACUGAGAGCUGACAAGCCUUGGCAGCACUUAGGUCGGAAGGGGGAGGGGGGCACCCCAAACAGGACAGUGUAACUCUGCACUCUUCUACUGAGGCUUUAAAAAAAAAAAAACUGACUAUUUCCAUAUUUGCUGUUUGGUAGCUUCUUCUGCACGGUACCUGAGAUCCUGGUGCACAACAUAGUGAUCUUCAUGCGAACUUCAGUGAAGAUUUCAUACAUUGGCCUCAUGACCCAGAGCUCCUUGGAGACACAUCACUAUGUGGAUUGUGGAGGAAAUUCCACAGCUAUUUAACAACUGCUAUUGGUUCUUCCACACAGCGCCUGUAGAAGAGAGCACAGCAUAUGUUCCCAAGGCCUGAGUUCUGGACCUACCCCCACGUGGUGUAAGCAGAGGAGGAAUUGGUUCACUUAACUCCCAGCAAACAUCCUCCUGCCACUUAGGAGGAAACACCUCCCUAUGGUACCAUUUAUGUUUCUCAGAACCAGCAGAAUCAGUGCCUAGCCUGUGCCCAGCAAAUAGUUGGCACUCAAUAAAGAUUUGCAGAAUUUAAUACAGAUCUUUUCAGCUGUUCUUAGGGCAUUAUAAAUGGAAAUCAUAACGUGGUUCUAGGUUAUCAAACCAUGGAGUGAUGUGGAGCUAGGAUUGUGAGUGACCUGCAGGCCAUUAUCAGUGCCUCAUCUGUGCAGAAGUGGCAGCAGAGAGGGACCAUCCAAAUACCUAAGAGAAAACAGACCUAGUCAGGAUAUGAAUUUGUUUCAGCUGUUCCCAAAGGCCUGGGAGCUUUUUGAAAAGAAAGAAAAAAGUGUGUUGGCUUUUUUUUUUUUUAGAAAGUUAGAAUUGUUUUUACCAAGAGUCUAUGUGGGGCUUGAUUCACCCUUCAUCCAUUGGCUGGAACAUGGAUUGGGGAUUUGAUAGAAAAAUAAACCCUGCUUUUGAUUCA